AAAUUGUAUUUCAUCUUUUUUCCUUUUUCUUUUGUGAGGGUAUUGUAUUUCACAUUCCGGAUACAACACACACCGUGGGGAAAACGGUGAAACGUCUAGCUAGAACGACUUGCCACCCCAGGAUGGCAACCGAGGCAUGGCGCGAAGCAAAGCUCAACCUAAUUGGAAAAAUGAAAUACUGCUAGUACAUGGCUACAUGCCAGUGUCCACCGGUGUUCUCUUCUGGCCAGUCAUGGUCCGCGCGUUCGAACGGAGCGGCUAGGUCCAGCACUGCUCCACCCACAGGAGCGGCUCGUGCAUGGCGGCUUCGCCGCCGUCGUAGUCGUCGGCGGCCGACGCCCAGGUCGGCGAGCACCAGAGGCCGUCCCUCAGGUCCAGCAGAAGGUCGGGCAGGUCGAACAGAGCGUUCUCCUCGCCGCUGCCGGCCUCACCGGAGCUCGCGGCCGAUGUCGAGUUC
rnacentral:lncRNA from 1 species